AUUGAACGCUGGCGGCAGGCUUAACACAUGCAAGUCGAGCGGAGCGAGGGUGCUUGCACCUUAGCUUAGCGGCGGACGGGUGAGUAAUGCUUAGGAAUCUGCCUAUUAGUGGGGGACAACAUUCCGAAAGGGAUGCUAAUACCGCAUACGCCCUACGGGGGAAAGCAGGGGAUCUUCGGACCUUGCGCUAAUAGAUGAGCCUAAGUCGGAUUAGCUAGUUGGUGGGGUAAAGGCCUACCAAGGCGACGAUCUGUAGCGGGUCUGAGAGGAGGAUCCGCCACACUGGGACUGAGACACGGCCCAGAAUCCUACGGGAGGCAGCGGUGGGGAAUAUUGGACAAUGGGCGGAAGCCUGAUCCAGCCAUGCCGCGUGUGUGAAGAAGGCCUUUUGGUUGUAAAGCACUUUAAGCGAGGAGGAGGCUACUAGUAUUAAUACUACUGGAUAGUGGACGUUACUCGCAGAAUAAGCACCGGCUAACUCUGUGCCAGCAGCCGCCGUAACAC
rnacentral:rRNA from 1 species